CUUACCAGAUGAGAGGGUCAUCAAAGGGGGAAAUGUACACCCAACCCGGGUUGUUCUUUUCCAGAGCCUUGGCCACUUGGAUGGCCUCAUCCAGCAUCUGCAAGGGGCGGGGCGGGGCGGGGCGGGGCGGGGAGACUGAGAUGAUGAGGAUCUCCAUCUAGUUAUCAGCCCUCCUGCCCACGAGGGGUCCGCACUCACCUCUCCCACCACUUCAACUGUGGCACCUUCAUCCUUGAGCCGCUCAAUGAUUUGUUGGGGCUGGAGAGACGGCUCAGCAGUUAAGAGCACUGACUGCUCUUCCAGGUGUCCUGAGUUCAAUUCCUGGCACCCACAUGGUGGCUCACAACCAUCUGUAAUGCCUUCUUCUGGUGCGUCUGAAGACAGUGACAGUGUACUCAUCAUAUAUAUAAGAAAUAAUAAUAAUAAAAGAGAUUUGUUUCAU
rnacentral:lncRNA from 1 species